rnacentral:rRNA from 1 species
UACAGAGGGUGCAAGCGUUAAUCGGAUUUACUGGGCGUAAAGCGUGCGUAGGCGGUUCAUUAAGUCGGUUGUGAAAUCCCUGGGCUUAACCUGGGAACUGCAGUCGAUACUGAUGGACUAGAGUGCGGUAGAGGGUGGCGGAACUCCGGGUGUAGCGGUGAAAUGCGUAGAUAUCGGGAGGAACAUCAGUGGCGAAGGCGGCUACCUGGCCCAAUACUGACACUCAGGUGCGACAGCGUGGGGAGCAAACAGG